GACGAACGCUGGCGGCGUGCCUAACACAUGCAAGUCAACUUGACUGAAGGAGCAAUCUGACAGUAGAGUGGCGCAAGGGUGCGUAACGCGUAAGUAACUUGCCCAAGGUAAGGAAUAACGUCGAGAAAUCGGCGCUAAUACCUCAUAAUGCAGCGGAUCCGCAUGGAUAUGUUGUUAAAGGUUUACCGCCUUGGGAUAGGCUUGCGUCUGAUUAGUUAGUUGGUGUGGUAACGGCACACCAAGGCUACGAUCAGUAACUGGUCUGAGAGGAUGAUCAGUCACACUGGAACUGAGACACGGUCCAGACUCCUACGGGAGGCAGCAGUGAGGAAUAUUGGGCAAUGCUCGAAAGAGUGACCCAGCAACGCCGCGUGGAGGAUGAAGGUAUUCUAUAUCGUAAACUCCUGUGAGAGCAGACGAAAGACAGAUUCUAAUCUGGAUGACUGUAUGCUCAGAGGAAGCCCCGGCUAACUACGU
rnacentral:rRNA from 1 species